CAGACACUAAAAUCAUGGUGCAUGUGUCUGAUGCAGUGAAACACGCACUUAAACGAGUCAUGAUUCGAACAGUCGUUAAUGAUGAUGCUGUCAAUACUGUUUCGCUAUUCCGUGACAUAGGGGUAGACGAACUAUGGAUUGUGUUUGGGAGGGCAAAAGACUUUGGAUUAAUAUCUAUCAAUGGCCUUUCAAAUGCACUAGGCAAUGAGUGAUCUGAGUGAUCUGAAACACUUAUUGUUAUCCAUGUCUUUACCUGUUGUGAUAUGGUUCUCUCUUUGCUUGAAAGGGGGGAAAAGACUAUGUGGGAGACAUUGAUUGCAUUUGAAGAUGUGACUUUAACAAAAAGAAUGAUGAUUAAUCAGACUAAAUCACCGGGGUUUUACUGUAAGAUCGCACAAACUUAGCAGAUGGGUAUAACAUGGUUAACGAAGCAAGAACAUAACUAUUUGCGCAACAGGGACGGCUUUUUCGAGGCUAUUCCCUCAACUUGGUCUAGUCUUUUCCAGCAUGUAAAUAAUGCAAUAUACUUAGGCAGGUGUUUAGGGAGACGAGCUUGGGAUUGGCUCUUAUGCUACCCACUCCAGGCGGGGACAAAGAGGAUAACUUUUGAAAAACUCUUUUUGAGGCCUCAUCAUUUUGUCAAAAGCUUAUACAUUGUGGAUGUAAGAAAGGAUUCCGCGGUCAUUUUUAAUGUGGAAAAUCGGGUAUCCCGUGCACUGCGAUGUGUGCAUGUCAUGGUGACUGUGAAUAAACAUGUAUUCUUGGCCAAAUAGUAAUAAUUUUAAAUAAUUUUUAGUACUAUAGUGAUUUUAUUUUGUUUUAAUCAAUC
rnacentral:lncRNA from 1 species